GAUGAACGCUGGCGGCGUGCCUAACACAUGCAAGUCGAACGGAUGUAGCAAUACAUCAGUGGCGGACGGGUGAGUAUCACGUGGGUAAUCUGCCUACUAGUGGGGGAUAACCAACCGAAAGGUUGGCUAAUACCGCAUACGCUCCAGAGGGGAAGUUCCUCGGGAGGAAAGAUGUUUCGCUAGUAGAUGAGCCCGCGGCUGAUUAGCUAGUUGGUGGGGUAAUGGCCUACCAAGGCGACGAUCAGUAGCCGGUCUGAGAGGGUGACCGGCCACACUGGAACUGAGACACGGUCCAGACUCCUACGGGAGGCAGCAUG
rnacentral:rRNA from 1 species